UACGGGGGGGGCAAGCGUUGUUCGGAAUUACUGGCGUAAAGGGCUCGUAGGCGGCCAACUAAGUCAGACGUGAAAUCCCUCGGCUUAACCGGGGAACUGCAUCUGAUACUGGAUGGCUUGAGUUCGGGAGAGGGAUGCGGAAUUCCAGGUGUAGCGGUGAAAUGCGUAGAUAUCUGGAGGAACACCGGUGGCGAAGGCGGCAUCCUGGACCGACACUGACGCUGAGGAGCGAAAGCCAGGGGAGCAAACGGG
rnacentral:rRNA from 1 species